UAUCAUGUCACUUAACUUUAGAUAGCGGAGGAAUUCCAAAGAAUCACAGCCGUUCCUCUCUUGCAAACGUUUAUGAGGAAACUUGACAGUUACACGCCGAGACUGCUCAACAUCAUGCGAGCGAAGGGAGGAGUUCCAGGGACAAAGAUACGGCCAAUACUGGAUACCCUCAAUCAGAGAGACUCCAUCGAGAGAAGACGGGAUGCAGUCAUCCGCAGUCUCAUAGAGUACCUUAGUAUCUUAGACUGCCAGGAGGCUGACCGACAUGAAAACACUCAUCACAUCCU